rnacentral:pre_miRNA from 1 species
CAAAUAAUGAAUUUGGCAAGAUGUCGGAAUAGCUGAGAGCACAGCGGAUCGAGCCUUUGAUCGUCCGAAAAAAUGUGAAUAUUUUUUAAAAGCGGCUAUGCCUCAUCUAGUCAAUUGCAUUACUUUG